ensembl:misc_RNA 7SK 7SK RNA
GGAUGUGAGGGCGAUCUGGCUGCAACAUGUGUCACCCCAUUGAUUACCAGGGUUGAUUCAGCUGAUCUGGCUGGCUAGGCGGGUGUCCCCUUCCUCCCUCACGGCUCCAUGUGCGUCCUUCCCAAAGCUGCAUGCUCGGUCGAAGAGGACGACCUUCCCCAAUAGAGUGGGACCGUUCUUCGGUCAAGGGUAUACGAGUAGCUGCGCUCCCCUGCUAGAACCUCCAAACAAGCUCUCAAUGGUAAACAAGAUGAAAUGAGUGGACAAGACACCAUUCGAACACA